GGCCAAGUUUUUAAGGGCGCACGGUGGAUGCCUUGGUACCAGGAACCGAUGAAGGACGUGGGAGGCCGCGAUAGGCCCCGGGGAGCUGUCAACCGAGCUUUGAUCCGGGGGUGUCCGAAUGGGGAAACCCGGCAGUCGUCAUGGGCUGUCACCCGCUGCUGAAUGUAUAGGCAGUGUGGAGGGAACGCGGGGAAGUGAAACAUCUCAGUACCCGCAGGAAGAGAAAACAACCGUGAUUCCGGGAGUAGUGGCGAGCGAAACCGGAUGAGGCCAAACCGUAUGUGUGUGAUACCCGGCAGGGGUUGCAUGUACGGGGUUGUGGGAUUGCGCUUCAGUCGUCUGCCGGCGGCUGGGUGAGUCAGAAACCAUCAUGAUAGGCGAAGGACAUGCGAAAGGUCCGGCGUAGAGGGUAAGACCCCCGUAGCUGAAAUCGUGGUGGCUCACUUGCGUUAUUCCCAAGUAGCACGGGGCCCGAGAAAUCCUGUGUGAAUCUGGCGGGACCACCCGCUAAGCCUAAAUAUUCCCUGGUGACCGAUAGCGGAUAGUACCGUGAGGGAAUGGUGAAAAGUACCGCGGGAGCGGAGUGAAAUAGUACCUGAAACCGUGUGCCUACAAGCCGUGGGAGCGUCGCGCAAGGACUUGUCCUUGCGUCGUGACUGCGUGCCUUUUGAAGAAUGAGCCUGCGAGUUUGCGGUGUGUUGCGAGGUUAACCCGUGUGGGGAAGCCGUAGCGAAAGCGAGUCCGAACAGGGCGCUGUAGUAGCACGCUCAAGACCCGAAGCGGAGUGAUCUAGCCAUGGGCAGGUUGAAGCGGCUGUAAGAGGUCGUGGAGGACCGAACCCACCAGGGUUGAAAACCUGGGGGAUGACCUGUGGUUAGGGGUGAAAGGCCAAUCAAACUCCGUGAUAGCUGGUUCUCCCCGAAAUGCAUUUAGGUGCAGCGUCGUGUGUUUCUUGCCGGAGGUAGAGCACUGGAUAGGCGAUGGGCCUUACCGGGUUACUGACCUUAGCCAAACUCCGAAUGCCGGUAAGUGAGAGCACGGCAGUGAGACUGUGGGGGAUAAGCUCCAUGGUCGAGAGGGAAACAGCCCAGAGCAUCGACUAAGGCCCCUAAGCGUACGCUAAGUGGGAAAGGAUGUGGAGUCGCAGAGACAACCAGGAGGUUGGCUUAGAAGCAGCCACCCUUGAAAGAGUGCGUAAUAGCUCACUGGUCUAGUGAUUCCGCGCCGACAAUGUAGCGGGGCUCAAGCGUACCGCCGAAGUCGUGUCAUUGCAGC
rnacentral:rRNA from 1 species